rnacentral:rRNA from 1 species
UUACUCGUUGGUAAGGUAGUGGCUUACCAAGGUUGCAAUGGGUAACGGGGAAUCAGGGUUCGAUUCCGGAGAUGGAGCCUGAGAAACGGCUACAACAUCCAAGGAAGGCAACAGGCGCGCAAAUUACCCAAUCUAGACAGUAGGAGGUGGUGAAGAGAAUUACUAAGUGGUGGAUCAAUGAUCUACCAACUUGGAAUGGACGUAACUUAAGAAAUUCGUUGAUAAACAACUGGAGGGCAAGUCCUGGUGCCAGCAGCCGCGGUAAUUCCAGCUCCAGUAGUUUGCUUUAAAGUUGUUGCGUUUAAAACGCUCGUAGUUGGAUCAUGCAACAGUGUUCGGUAGUCUUUUCAUACGUCUAGAAUUUUCGUGGUGCUCAUCGAAAGACGACUCCCGAUCUCUAGACGUUGAUAGAUCUAAAAGCCGACCACUGUUAAUUGCACGUGAGAUGGAUUGUUGACCUUUAGUGAGUCGGUAAUCCUGUCUUGCGGAGUGUGCCUUGAAUAAAACAGAGUGCUUAAAGCAGGUUUACGCCUGAAUGUUAUAGCAUGGAACGAACAAUAGUGUAUACGUGCACGUUCUUUGAUAGCGUUAGACUUAUGGUUUGGCGUUGUUGGAGGCGUGUACAUCACCCACCAAAAUAUGGCUGUUGGUUCCAUAUACGGUGAUGAUUAAAAGGAGCGGUUGGAGGCAUCGGUAUUUGGCCGCGAGAGGUGAAAUUCUUGGACCGGCCAAGGACUAACAAAUGCAAAGGCACUUGUCUAGACCGUAUCCAUUAAUCAAGAACGAAAGUGGGAGGUUCGAAGACGAUCAGAUACCGUCCUAGUUCCCACUGUAAACUAUGCCGACCUGGGAUCAGUUUAGAGAUGCUACAAGCUCUAAAUUGGUCCCCCUGGGAAACCUCAAGUUUUUCGGUUACGGGGAGAGUAUGGUCGCAAGGCUGAAACUUAAAGGAAUUGACGGAAGGGCACCACCAGGGGUGGAGCCUGCGGCUUAAUUUGACUCAACACGGGGAAACUUACCUGGUCCGGACAUCGAUAGGAUACACAGACUGAUAGAUCUUUGUUGAUGCGAUGAGUGGUGGUGCAUGGCCGUUCUUAGUUCGUGGAGUGAUCUGUCAGCUUAAUUGCGGUAACGAACGAGACCACAGUCUCCAUUUAAGAAACAGAAAAAGAUGGCCUAUUGUUGGGACUUGUCUCAAUUGUAGGUUGUUGUUGGCUAGAAGUUUGGUCGUACGGCGGAGUUGCAAAAGAGUAAUCCGAUGUGGCCGAGUUGUAUGAUUGAGCUUUUUCCUUUCUGUCAAGCAGUAGCUGGUAUCUACCAGAUGCUGCCUUAUGGAGAGACAACGAGGUAUAAACAAGCUCGAGGAAGAGUGGCUAUAACAGGUCAGUGAUGCCCUUCGAUGUUCAGGGCUGC